rnacentral:rRNA from 1 species
AUUGAACGCUGGCGGAAUGCUUUACACAUGCAAGUCGAGCGGCAGCGCGGGGGCAACCCUGGCGGCGAGCGGCGAACGGGUGAGUAAUACAUCGGAACGUGUCCUUAAGUGGGGGAUAGCUCGGCGAAAGCCGGAUUAAUACCGCAUAAGCUCUGAGGAGGAAAGCGGGGGCUCCGUAAGGACCUCGCGCUGUUGGAGCGGCCGAUGUCGGAUUAGCUAGUUGGUGGGGUAAAGGCCCACCAAGGCGACGAUCCGUAGCUGGUCUGAGAGGAUGAUCAGCCACACUGGAACUGAGACACGGUCCAGACUCCUACGGGAGGCAGCAGUGGGGAAUUUUGGACAAUGGGGGCAACCCUGAUCCAGCCGUUCCGCGUGAGUGAAGAAGGCCUGGU